rnacentral:lncRNA from 1 species
GUCAAGACCAAGUGCACUAAGACAGCAUGACAUGGUAGAAUAAAGUCAACCUGCUGCAAGGAGACCGAGGUUUAUGCUCCAGUCUCUGUGUUAGCAUAUGUGAGACUUGGGGAUUUGUAAACCUUGGAGGCUCAAUUUUCUCAGCUACUACUAAAUGGAGACAACAAAACCAACUUUAUUUUGAGAAGCCAUCUUUAUCGUAUACAAAAUUCCCAUAUGCAUUGAGUGUAUGUCAGAUGUUUGAGGACUAUAAUUUUCAACAAAUGAAUCCAACAGAAAGUGUAAAAUCAUUGGAUGGGAGGGAGAUUCCACUCAACUAACUACAAUUGCCUUUUAAUUAUAUCACAAAUCUGACUGAAUCUCACCAUUUCUACUGCUACCUCCUUGGUCCCAGAUACCAUCAUCUCUCCCCUAGACAAAAGCAAAGCCUCUAUACUUGUCUCUCUGCAUCCAGUCUUGUCCCUGAAGCAAUCUCCGCACUCCCCCAAAUAUGCCACUUUGGCAGGAAGCUUAUUUAGAUCUAAAGGAAAUCAAAACCCAUGAGACUCCAGAAAAGUUC